UACGAGUGCCUCAAGCGUUAUCCGGAAUCAUUGGGCGUAAAGGGUGUGUAGGUGGUCGCGUUAGUCUUCUGUUAAAUUCUUCGGCUUAACCGGGGGCAUGCAGAAGAAACGGCGCGACUAGAGGAUGCAAGGGGUCUGCGGAACUCAUAGUGUAGCGGUGAAAUGCGUUGAUAUUAUGGGGAACACCAAAAGCGAAGGCAGCAGACUGGGGCACUCCUGACACUGAAACACGAAAGCGUGAGUAGCGAAUGGG
rnacentral:rRNA from 1 species